GACGAACGCUGGCGGCGUGCUUAACACAUGCAAGUCGAACGGAAAGGCCCUGCUUUUGUGGGGUGCUCGAGUGGCGAACGGGUGAGUAACACGUGAGUAACCUGCCCUUGACUUUGGGAUAACUUCAGGAAACUGGGGCUAAUACCGGAUAGGAGCUCCUGCUGCAUGGUGGGGGUUGGAAAGUUUCGGCGGUUGGGGAUGGACUCGCGGCUUAUCAGCUUGUUGGUGGGGUAGUGGCUUACCAAGGCUUUGACGGGUAGCCGGCCUGAGAGGGUGACCGGCCACAUUGGGACUGAGAUACGGCCCAGACUCCUACGGGAGGCAGCAGUGGGGAAUAUUGCACAAUGGGCGGAAGCCUGAUGCAGCAACGCCGCGUGCGGGAUGACGGCCUUCGGGUUGUAAACCGCUUUCGCCUGUGACGAAGCGUGAGUGACGGUAAUGGGUAAAGAAGCACCGGCUAACUACGUGCCAGCAGCCGCGGUGAUACGUAGGGUGCGAGCGUUGUCCGGAUUUAUUGGGCGUAAAGGGCUCGUAGGUGGUUGAUCGCGUCGGAAGUGUAAUCUUGGGGCUUAACCCUGAGCGUGCUUUCGAUACGGGUUGACUUGAGGAAGGUAGGGGAGAAUGGAAUUCCUGGUGGAGCGGUGGAAUGCGCAGAUAUCAGGAGGAACACCAGUGGCGAAGGCGGUUCUCUGGGCCUUUCCUGACGCUGAGGAGCGAAAGCGUGGGGAGCGAACAGGCUUAGAUACCCUGGUAGUCCACGCUGUAAACGGUGGGUACUAGGUGUGGGGUCCAUUCCACGGGUUCCGUGCCGUAGCUAACGCUUUAAGUACCCCGCCUGGGGAGUACGGCCGCAAGGCUAAAACUCAAAGGAAUUGACGGGGCCCCGCACAAGCGGCGGAGCAUGCGGAUUAAUUCGAUGCAACGCGUAGAACCUUACCUGGGUUUGACAUGGAUCGGGAGUGCUCAGAGAUGGGUGUGCCUCUUUUGGGGUCGGUUCACAGGUGGUGCAUGGCUGUCGUCAGCUCGUGUCGUGAGAUGCUGGGUUAAGUCCCGCAACGAGCGCAACCCUUGUUCACUGUUGCCAGCACGUUAUGGUGGGGACUCAGUGGAGACCGCCGGGGUCAACUCGGAGGAAGGUGGGGAUGACGUCAAGUCAUCAUGCCCCUUAUGUCCAGGGCUUCACGCAUGCUACAAUGGCUGGUACAGAGAGUGGCGAGCCUGUGAGGGUGAGCGAAUCUCGGAAAGCCGGUCUCAGUUCGGAUUGGGGUCUGCAACUCGACCUCAUGAAGUCGGAGUCGCUAGUAAUCGCAGAUCAGCAACGCUGCGGUGAAUACGUUCCCGGG
rnacentral:rRNA from 1 species